ACGGACUUUUUAUCGUCAAGGUUGCGAUUACAUCAAGAUUAAUGAUAUCAAAAAGUUAGUGGCGGACGAGGUAGUAAUACAUAGGAACUUCCCCCGAAGUCUUGAAUAAUCUAUCGAAAGGUAGACUAAUACAAGAUGGUCUCUGAGAAAUUUAUUUCGAAGAGUAAAGUUUUAACGCUUCGGGAAAGGCCUGUGCGGUAUCAGCUAGUUGGCAGUGUAAAAGACUACCAAGGCUAUGACGCCUAGGGGAGCUGAGAGGCUGACCCCCACCGAUGGUACUGAGACACGGACCAUACACCUACGGGUGGCUGCAGUCGAGAAUCUUCCACAAUGGACGAAAGUCUGACGGAGCGACGCCGCGUGAUUGAUGAAGUCCCUCUGGGACGUAAAGAUCUUUUAUGAGGGAAGAAGUUUAUUGACUGUACCUCAUGAAUAAGAGGCUCCUAAUCUCGUGUCUGUG
rnacentral:rRNA from 1 species